rnacentral:tRNA from 3 species
GCCAACGUAGCUCAAUGGCAGAGCAGGCGCUUCGUAAGCGUCAGGUUGCAGGUUCAAGUCCUGCCGUUGGCU